CAUUGCAUAUUUAUUCCUCUUGAGAAAUGUUGGUACAGCUCUGAUAUUUCAGGACCUGAGGGCAUCUGACUUCUGUAUCAUCUGGUCAGUAAUGGAAAAUUAAUUGGAAGGCUGUGUUUACAUAUACUGUUUUUGUACCAGCACAUCUUGUUGGAGCUAGAAGUUGUUCGGUAGGCUGGUCAGUCUCAAAAUAUGGUUUGUAUCGACUCUUGGUAUCAAGUCUGGCAUUGGUUGUUCCAUGGUGUUAAGAUUUACUUGAAAUUGCGACAACAGCUUCGAAAAUCAUUGCAUCUUGUUUGGAGCUAAAGUUGUUCGGUAGGCUGCACCUUGGAUUAUCUUGAGCACGCUAGUGGAACCUCAUGAUGAGCCUUCUGCCGACACUAAAGGUUGAGUUCAUGGGCUUUGGUUGUCCCUUCUAUUUCGUGUAA